GUGCUCACUUCAGCAGCACAUAUACUAAAGUUGGAAUGAUGCAGAGAAGAUUAGCAUGGCCCUGUGCAAGGAUGGCACGCAAAUUCGUGAAGCAUUCCAUAUUUUU
rnacentral:snRNA from 1 species